GCGCCGACUAGUGCGGACGUGGAAAGAUCGGCUCCCGCUUUCGUAAAUAUUUUCGGUCUGCUUUUAGUGUCACCUACCACGGAAAUGCACGCCAUUCGACACGGUUUCUUCUGAGGACUUCCUUUGCCUGAAAUCAGCACUGUUGUGAACAUGGGUGUUUCUCCAGCUCGCAUAGUGCUUGCCAACGCUGUGAAGGGCUCGAGGGACAUUGAAUUCGCUCUCAAACAUAACGUCACCCUCAUGGCAUUUGAUUCAGUGGAAGAGCUCUCUAAAGUGGAAGGCAAAAACACGAGGCUGCUGCUCAGAAUCCUUGCUGCCGAGGAGGGAUUAAUCCAUAAGUUCAACAAUAAAUUUGGGUGCUCAAUCUAUGAUGCGAAGCGAAUUCUGAAAGAAGCCCGGGCGAGAGAGUGCAAUGUCGUCGGUG